rnacentral:lncRNA from 1 species
AAAAAAAAAAAAAAGGAAAAGAACCAAACCCCGAAAGGCUCACCAGUUUGGGACCCCUACCCUCUCGGCUUCUCUUUCCUUUUCUUCCUUCCGGGUUAAGGUUUCCUGAACCCACGUCGGAGCCACCGGAGGAAGCAUCCCAGUCUCUUCACAGAGCUAGGUAAGCCCUAAUCCCUUUCUUCUCUACAAUUUAUGCUUUGUAGAGUAGAUCUAGUUCAAAACUAAAAAUUAAAACGGAAAGGAGAAGGAGGAGAAGGAGGAGGAGGGAAGGGCCACUUACCGGUGGAUCCUUGACCGCGGCGUCGCCGGCCUCGGGUCGGCCCCCUCCCGAGCAUCCCUCUUCUCCGCGGGAGAAGAGGGGGCCGGCCGCCGCAGGCGCGGCCGCGGGUGCCGCCGGCCGCGGCCCGACCCCUCCCGUGAGGGGGAGCUCGCCCUCCUCCCUUCGCGAGAGAAGAAAGGAGAAGAAAAGGCGGAUCUCCCCUUCCCUCUUCGCGGCAGGAGAAAAGGGAGAGGAGAGGUUUGGAAAGAAGUUGGGAGAAGAAAAGGAAGGAGAGAGGAGAAGUUUCGGGAAGAAACAGAGAAGAAAAGAAAAGAAAAAAAA